AUAUCAGUCAUGCAUAGCAUAUCAAUAGCGGAGGAAAAGAAACUAACAAGGAUUCCCUUAGCAACGGCGAGUGAAGCGGGAAGAGCUCAAAUUUGAAAUCUUCAAGGUUUUACCUUGACGAAUUGUAGUUUAAAGAAGUGUUUUCUGUUGAAGUUUUGGUAGAAGUUCUUUGGAAUAGGACAUCAUAGAGGGUGAGAAUCCCGUAUUUGACCAUUACUUUCAGCUUUGUGAUACACUUUCAAAGAGUCGGAUUGUUUGGGAAUGCAGUCCGAAAUGGGUGGUAAAUUUCAUCUAAAGCUAAAUAUUGGCGAGAGACCGAUAGCGAACAAGUACCGUGAGGGAAAGAUGAAAAGAACUUUGAAAAGAGAGUUAAACAGUACGUGAAAUUGUCAAAAGGGAAGCGUUUGACACCAGUGUUGUUUUCUCGAAAAUCAAUUAAAAAGAGUUGGAUUUUGUGUUGUAUUGACUUUAUCAGCUUUCUUCACUCUUUUCCAGCUUUUUUUAAUGCACUUUUCGUUUAACAAGUCAACAUCAGUUUCUUUUGUUGUAAAAAGGUCAUUGGAAGGUGGCUUUCUCUUCGGAGAAAGUGUUUAUAGCCUUUGACUCAUGCAAUCGGAGAGACUGAGGUCUGCAGCGUAGAUCCUUCGGGGUUAGAUACAUUUGUGCUAAGUUAUAGCUUUUCAUAGACAACUUGUUGACUAUGUUUAGUCUUGUAGCUUACUCGCUUAUGCUAUUUUACCUACGCUUAGGAUGUUGAACUCUAUCACACACAG
rnacentral:rRNA from 1 species